rnacentral:rRNA from 1 species
AGAGUUUGAUCCUGGCUCAGAGCGAACGCUGGCGGCAGGCUUAACACAUGCAAGUCGAGCGGGCGUAGCAAUACGUCAGCGGCAGACGGGUGAGUAACGCGUGGGAACGUACCUUUUGGUUCGGAACAACACAGGGAAACUUGUGCUAAUACCGGAUAAGCCCCUACGGGGAAAGAUUUAUCGCCGAAAGAUCGGCCCGCGUCUGAUUAGCUAGUUGGUGAGGUAACGGCUCACCAAGGCGACGAUCAGUAGCUGGUCUGAGAGGAUGAUCAGCCACAUUGGGACUGAGACACGGCCCAAACUCCUACGGGAGGCAGCAGUGGGGAAUAUUGGACAAUGGGCGCAAGCCUGAUCCAGCCAUGCCGCGUGAGUGAUGAAGGCCCUAGGGUUGUAAAGCUCUUUU